GGGAAUCUUCCGCAAUGGGCGAAAGCCUGACGGAGCAAUACCGCGUGAGGGAGGAAGGCUCUUGGGUUGUAAACCUCUUUUCUCAGGGAAGAACAGAAUGACGGUACCUGAGGAAUAAGCAUCGGCUAACUCCGCGCCAGCAGCCGCGGUAAUACGGAGGAUGCAAGCGUUAUCCGGAAUGAUUGGGCGUAAAGAGUCCGUAGGUGGCAUUGAAAGUCUGCUGUUAAAGAGUCUAGCUCAACUAGAUAAGAGCAGUGGAAACUACAAAGCUAGAGUUUGGUCGGGGCAGAAGGAGUUCCUGGUGUAGCGGUGAAAUGCGUAGAUAUCAGGAAGAACACCGGUGGCGAAGGCGUUCUGCUAGGCCGAGACUGACACUGAGGGACGAAAGCUAGGGGAGCGAAAGGGAUUAGAUACCCCUGUAGUC
rnacentral:rRNA from 1 species